rnacentral:rRNA from 1 species
CUUGACGACCAUAGAACAUUGGAACCACCUGAUCCCAUCCCGAACUCAGCAGUGAAACGAUGUAUCGCCGAUGGUAGUGUGGGUCUCAUCGCUUACGCGUUGAGGGUUUUUGUUUUUA